rnacentral:tRNA from 1 species
GGCUCUAUAGCUCAGUCGGUAGAGCACAGGACUGAAAAUCCUGGUGUCGUUGGUUCGAUUCCAACUGGAGCCACCA